rnacentral:rRNA from 1 species
ACCCGCUGAACUUAAGCAUAUCAAUAAGCGGAGGAAAAGAAACCAACAGGGAUUGCCUUAGUAACGGCGAGUGAAGCGGCAACAGCUCAAAUUUGAAAGCUGGCCCUUUUAGGGUCCGCAUUGUAAUUUGUAGAGGAUGAUUCGGCGAGGGCUCCUGCCUAAGUCCCCUGGAACGGGGCGUCAUAGAGGGUGAGAAUCCCGUAUGCGGUAGGUUGCCUUAGCCAUGUGAAUCUCCUUCGACGAGUCGAGUUGUUUGGGAAUGCAGCUCUAAAUGGGAGGUAAAUUUCUUCUAAAGCUAAAUACCGGCCAGAGACCGAUAGCGCACAAGUAGAGUGAUCGAAAGAUGAAAAGCACUUUGGAAAGAGAGUUAAAAAGUACGUGAAAUUGUUGAAAGGGAAGCGCUUGCAACCAGACUUGUCCGCAGUUGCUCAGCCGGUCUCCUGACCGGCGUACUCUUCUGCGGCCAGGCCAGCAUCAGUUCGGGCGGUCGGAUAAAGGCCUCGGGAAUGUGGCUCCUCUCGGGGAGUGUUAUAGCCCGGGGUGCAAUGCGGCCAGCCUGGACUGAGGAACUCGCUUCGGCAAGGAUGCUGGCGUAAUGGUUGUAAGCGGCCCGUCUUGAAACACGGACCAAGGAGUCUAACAUCUAUGCGAGUGUUCGGGUGUCAAACCCGUACGCGUAAUGAAAGUGAACGGAGGUGGGAACCCGCAAGGGUGCACCAUCGGCCGAUCCUGAUGUCUUCGGAUGGAUUUGAGCAAGAGCAUAGCUGUUGGGACCCGAAAGAUGGUGAACUAUGCCUGAAUAGGGUGAAGCCAGAGGAAACUCUGGUGGAGGCUCGCAGCGGUUCUGACGUGCAAAUCGAUCGUCAAAUUUGGGUAUAGGGGCGAAAGACUAAUCGAACCAUCUAGUAGCUGGUUCCUGCCGAAGUUUCCCUCAGGA